rnacentral:rRNA from 1 species
UGGGGAAUCUUGCACAAUGGGGGAAACCCUGAUGCAGCGACGCCGCGUGAACGAUGAAGCCCUUCGGGGUGUAAAGUUCUUUCGGCAGGAACGAUAAUGACGGUACCUGAAGAAGAAGCUGCGGCUAACUACGUGCCAGCAGCCGCGGUAAUACGUAGGCAGCAAACGUUGUUCGGAGUUACUGGGCGUAAAGAGUACGUAGGCGGUUUGCCAAGUUUGGUGUGAAAUCUCCUGGCUUAACUGGGAGGGUGCGCCGAAUACUGGCAGACCUGAGUAUUGGAGAGGAAAGCGGAAUUCCUGGUGUAGCGGUGAAAUGCGUAGAUAUCAGGAGGAACACCGGUGGUGUAGACGGCUUUCUGGACAAUCACUGACGCUGAGGUACGAAAGCGUGGGGAGCAAACAGGAUUAGAUACCCCGGUAGUCCCUGAGCGGGCUGGCAAGGCGCAU